rnacentral:rRNA from 1 species
UACAGGGGGUGCAAACGUUGCUCGGAAUCAUUGGGCGUAAAGCGCACGUAGGCGGUCUGUUAUGUCGGAUGUGAAAGCCCUUGGCUUAACUGAGGAAGUGCAUCCGAAACUGGCAGGCUAGAGUACUAAAGAGGGUCGCGGAAUUCCCGGUGUAGAGGUGAAAUGCGUAGAGAUCCGGAGGAACACCAGUGGCGAAGGCGACACGCUGGGCCGUACCUGACGCUAAAACGCGACAGCAUGGGGAGCGAACGGG